GCAGUAGGGAAUCUUCCGCAAUGGGCGCAGGCCUGACGGAGCAACGCCGCGUGAAUGAUGAAGGCCUUCGGGUCGUAAAGUUCUGUCCUUAGGGACGAACCACCAGUAUAGGUAAUGAUACUGGUCUGACGGUACCUAUGGAGGAAGCCAUGGCUAACUACGUGCCAGCAGCCGCGGUAAUACGUAGAUGGCAAGCGUUGUCCGGAAUCACUGGGCGUAAAGGGUACGCAGGCGGAUAUACAAGUCAAAUGUGAAAUGUACCGGCUUAACCGGUGAUGUGCAUUUGAAACUGUUUAUCUUGAGUCUAGGAGAGGAGAGCGGAAUUCCUGGUGUAGCGGUGGAAUGCGUAGAUAUCAGGAAGAACACCAGUGGCGAAGGCGGCUCUCUGGCCUAAGACUGACGCUCAUGUACGAAAGCUGGGGGAGCGAACGGGAUUAGAUACCCCGGUAGUCCCAGCCGUAAACGCUGGACACUAGGUGCUGGAGGUUCGAAUCCUUCAGUGCCGUAGUUAACGCAAUAAGUGUCCCGCCUGGGGAAUACGGUCGCAAGACUGAAACUCAAAGG
rnacentral:rRNA from 1 species